AUUGAACGCUGGCGGCAGGCCUAACACAUGCAAGUCGAGCGCGCGGCGGACGGGUGAGUAAUGUCUGGGCAACUGCCUGAUGUAGGGGGAUAACUACUGGAAACGGUAGCUAAUCCCGCAUACCAUCCGAUUGUCCCAGCUGGGAUUUGCUAGUAGGUGGGGUAAUGGCUCACCUAGGCGACGAUCCCUAGCUGGUCUGAGAGGAUGACCAGCCACACUGGAACUGAGACACGGUCCAGAAUCCUACGGGAGGCAGCAGUGGGGAAUAUUGCACAAUGGGCGCAAGCCUGAUGCAGCCAUGCCGCGUGUAUGAAGAAGGCCUUCGGGUUGUAAAGGACUUUCAGCGGGGAGGCGUUACCCGCAGAAGAAGCAACGGCUAACUCCGUGCCAGCAGCCGCGGUAAUAC
rnacentral:rRNA from 1 species